UGGGGAAUAUUGCACAAUGGGCGCAAGCCUGAUGCAGCCAUGCCGCGUGUGUGAAGAAGGCCUUCGGGUUGUAAAGCACUUUCAGCGGGGAGGAAGGCGAUAAGGUUAAUAACCUUGUCGAUUGACGUUACCCGCAGAAGAAGCACCGGCUAACUCCGUGCCAGCAGCCGCGGUAAUACGGAGGGUGCAAGCGUUAAUCGGAAUUACUGGGCGUAAAGCGCACGCAGGCGGUCUGUCAAGUCGGAUGUGAAAUCCCCGGGCUCAACCUGAGAACUGCAUUCGAAGCUGGGAGGCUAGAGUCUUGUAGAGGGGGGUAGAAUUCCAGGUGUAGCGGUGAAAUGCGUGGAGAUCUGGGGGGAUACCGGGGGCGAAGGCGGCCCCCUGGACAAAGACUGACGCUCAGGUGCGAAAGCGUGGGGAGCAAACAGG
rnacentral:rRNA from 1 species